CAACAUUUCCUAGUGGAAGCCUGAGGAAUAAUUUCCUAUGAGCAGUUGAAGUCUCACUGCUUGACACAUUUUAAACAAGAUUGGACAAAACACCUAAUAAAUGGACCAAUCCUGUGCUGGCAAGGAGAUGGAUUAAAAGUGGCAAUGAACCCUAUUACAUCUGUUGAAGACUGCAGGAUUUUUCCAUGGAGCAAGAAGGCAUAAGAACUAUACUUCGAAACACCAGUGCCACAGAGCAUCUAGCGAUGUUCGGUGACCUUCCACAAUGAAUUGGCAAAUUCCUGCAACACAAGUCUGUAAAUCUGUGCCCACAGAAUGAAGCCAUCGAUCACCUUUUAGAAGGUAGUCAACUUUUACAGGAGAACUUGGAGAAAGAUGAUCUGAAAAAUAAGGCGGGAAAGAGCAUUCUAAAAGAGCUUGUGUAUCAUUUUUGGAACAUUUGGGAGGGGUGACAGACACAGAUAAUGGCCUAAAUCUUGUCAAGAUUUUCAAAUGUGCCAAUGUUCUGUAUAAUGUCAUUUUACACAUGACCGUUUAUGCCUAUACUUCAUGGCCAUGGACACUGACACUAUGCUGGAACAGUUGUUGAAAGCACUGUUUUCUUGUGUCUGGAGGCCUGUGGUUCCAGGCCUGUGGUUCUUAGGUCUGGAGGCCUGUGGUUAGUCCACAAACUAAGCAAGUUUUCUGGCCUCAACAUUAACCUGUGAGAAUAUUUCUCCAUAUCUCAGAAAUGGCGUUGUUUCCCAAAAUUUAUGAUCUCUGGCUGGUGUGGGAUCUCGACUGAAAUAGCAUUUUGCAGGUCAAGGUUCAAGAGCCUUAACAUAACAUCACAUGCACUUGAAGAAUAAUAAUAAAUAAAUAAACAAUUUAUUUAAACAUC